rnacentral:lncRNA from 1 species
CUAGAGUUUAAUGCGGUCGAUUUAGUUAAGGAGGAAUUUGACAUUAAAUCUGGUAAGAUAUCUUGCAAGCUAUUAAAAUAAAGGAAUAAUAUCUUAAAAAAUAGUUAACUACAUCAUAUCUGACGUCUUAAAAAUAUAAAAUAGUUGUUGAAAAUUGAAAACAAUCACAAAACAUGCUUCUUCUUUUUAUAUAUUCUUCGACAUGAAUGUCGGUCAAUCAGUCUUUGUGAUUUACGAAAACAAUAUAUCUUAGCUUUUGCCGUAUAGAAAUGUUUCAUACUGUUCAUGAUAAUUAAUUCAUAGUCCUGAUCCUAUUAUAUACAAACAUUUUAUAAUAAUACCAUAAAUAAUUUGAUCAUAAGUGACUUUCAUGUGUAUACAAACAAUUGUCCCACGUGAUACGUAGCGUAAAUGUAUGUGAAUGAAUGAAUUCUUUUAUUAAUUAUUCAAAACAGAGUUACUUGAAUUUUUUUCUCAAACUUCUUUAACUUAAAAUGUACAUGUUCAAAUUUAUGUACAGAAAGACUCUGUUAAAUCAUUAUUGGUGACUGUGAACGUGUUUAAUGGAAAAUUACUGGAAUGUUAGGUAAAUCGAUACUAUUUAUUUAGGUAUGUGCUUACUAGAGCAUAACGUCUACGUUUACUAUCAAACAGAGGCUUGCUGAAAGAAGAAAUAAAUAAAACGUUGAUUACAUUUUUUUUUUUGGAAUAUGUCUUUGUAAAAACGGUCCGAAAUCGAAAAAUAUUCGAUGGAAUAGAAUCUCACUAUUUUUUUUUUAAACUUCCUGGAUUUUGAAUUAAAAAAAUAUAGAGAAACGUUUAUGAAUGAAUCAACAAAAACUCAAGGCAGAAACGGCGGGAAAAUAUGAUCUACAUUAUACAUGUGACUUGGAUACACAAUGCCACUGCUUAUCAGUCUUCUAUAGACACACCCUUUCGGAGAACGGAAUCUAGUAUUCUAAACUUAUAUAAAAAAGAAGAUCAAAUAAAAAAAAGUGAUUUCUCAAAUUGCUUUACAUUAACUUUUUCAGAUGCACUGAUUGGAUUUUGAAUGGUAUAUCUAUAUAUACUAGCAGUGAUAACUGAGUAUAUACUGCUUUUGGCAGUGCCCGCUUUUUCCAAGGAGGCAAACAUUACACUUUUUGUAAAAAGUGUAGGUUUCCCCAUAUGUAUAAAGGGCGAACAAUACUUUGACGUUGACCAGAACAAGUGCAGACGAUGUCCGCGUUGUAGAAAAGCUUCCAAUUAUUUGCAAUUU